rnacentral:rRNA from 1 species
AUUGAACACUGGCGGCAGGCCUAACACAUGCAAGUCGAGCGGUUGAGGUAGCUUGCUACCGAUGCAGCGGCGAACGGGUGAGUAAUACAUGGGAAUCUGCCUGGUAGUGGGGGACAACGUUUCGAAAGGAACGCUAAUACCGCAUACGCCCUACGGGGGAAAGGGGGGAUCGCAAGACCUCUCGCUAUCAGAUGAGCCCAUGUCAGAUUAGCUAGUUGGUGAGGUAAAGGCUCACCAAGGCGACGAUCUGUAACUGGUCUGAGAGGAUGAUCAGUGACACUGGAACCGAGACACGGUCCAGACUCCUACGGGAGGCAGCAGUGGGGAAUAUUGGACAAUGGGGGCAACCCUGAUCCAGCCAUGCCGCGUGUGUGAAGAAGGCCUUAGGGUUGUAAAGCACUUUCAGUGGGGAGAAAGGUGAUUCACCUAAUACGUGAGUCAAUUGAUGCUACCCACAGAAGAAGCACCGGCUAACUCCGUGCCAGCAGCCGCCGUAA